UAAUUAGAUAUAGUAGGUUUGGUAUACUCUAAAAUGCUUCGCUGUUUGGUGGACUUGAGGAGAGGAAAAUGGGAGAAGAGAAAGAAAUAAAGAGAAAAAGAUGAAUUUCACAUCUAGCCAAAUAACAAAAAUAAGAUUGAUUCUCUUUUUUUAUCCAUUUCCAUUCUUCUCAUCUCCUAUCAUUUCUUCCAACUAAACACAUGAUUGGAAGAUCCAAAUUUUACAAUUUUCAAUUUCAAGAAUAGUGUCGCUUUUGCUUGCAGCUUUUUUUAUUAUUAUUUUUUGGUUAUAAUUUUAUCCACGACAAUUACUAAAAAGGAAAAUAAUAAUUUUCUAAUUUUGAAUACAUUAAAAUUUACUUUAUUCUUUCUUCUUUAAUGAUGGUUCAUACUUCAUAAAUAUUGACACUAAUAAUUUUAAUUUAUAUGUUAGUGUAAUCACGUUUUAUCAUACGCUCUUGAAAGUCAAUUUUUAUAUAUUUAACACAUACAAUUCAUGAAAUUACUCAAUGAAUAUAUUAUUGAAAAAAAAAAAAGCUCAACAAAGAUAACAUACUUAAUCUUAUUAUCACUAUUUUUUAAUCCUUUUGCUAUUAAAAGUGCACUUGUAUAUGUGAGUUCGAAAACUGAAAUAUAUUUCAUUGAUAAUAUUCAAUACAAAUUAUAUAAAAAAAUAAUGAUAAAAUAUUUGGGGAAACUAAAAUUACUUGCUUCACCAUCCGAUGAAGGUGUUCGCAUAUGAUUCGGUUUACCAUAUUCCUGUUUCUCAUCCUUUUUCAUGUGGAACAUGAUUUCUUUCUUUCUAUAUAAACAUACUUUAUUAGCUCCUAUUUCUCUUUAAUAUUUUUUUCUUCUGUUGUUCAAUGAAAAAUAAAAAUUAUCCGUUGUCCAAUUAAAAUUAAAAAUUAUUCAGCAAACAAAUUACUCAGUACCAAUCGCUUGUUAUCUUUUAUUUAUCUCUAUUGUGCCGUACAAUUUGUACGUGCUCAAGUUUUUUUUUGCCAACCCCUGUUCAUAAACAAGUUUCUCAAGUCAAAGGAAAAUUUUCAUAAUUAUAAUCCAAAAGAAAUUUAAAAAAAAAAAGAAAGAAAGAAAGAAAACUAGCCAUUGAACUAUCAGAGUCUCAAUCCGGCCGAAGCUCCAAAACGUUUUUUAGGAAAGAAGCAAUUGAACUACCGCAGUACUCUCAAUACAGAGCGAGAGCGAAUUAUCAGAAUAAAAGCAGGCGAAUUAUUAAAUUACAAGGCAAGCAAAUCAUUAAGCAUAUUUCUCCGUUUCAAACCAAAACGAUCGAUUCAUCAAAAUAAAUAGAAACAUUAAGAAAAGUCUCGUUUAAAAGUCUCGUUACAAGUAAAGAAACAUGACACAUUGUAACUCAUUUAAGAUAUGUUGGUCCUCACGUUCAGAACGAGCAUUGAUACAGAGAAAUAGCAUAGGCUCAUAUUAACCCAUGCAAGUCGAUAAUGCAAAUAGUUAUAUGCCAAUUAUGGACAGAUAAAUGCAGCAGACAAAUAAAGCAAAAACUGUAUACGCCUUAAUAAAAAUAUCAUUGUAAUUUUAACAAUUUUUAUAUUUUUUAUGAUUAUGUCAUCUCUUUCUCACCGAACAAAAAUCCUAGAGUCUCAAGAGAACAAUAUUUUAAAAUUUAUUUAUUUUUUAUUGGGUGAGGUUAUUA
rnacentral:lncRNA from 1 species